rnacentral:lncRNA from 1 species
UCUGGCUUCUAUCCCCAGUGGAGUUAGACAGACCCAUCCAAGCCAGGCCGUGCAGGUCUAUAGUAUUAAGAGGAGGACUUUCCGGUGCUGGGAUAAUACUGAAUAUUGCAAGUUAUCCACAUUGGUUGCUCUCCUGCCUCAGGGUGGAGAGGUCAGCAGUGUCUGUCGCCUCACUGAGGAGUGAACUGGAGGCACUGGGCCCAGUAAAACCCAUUCUGGA